UACGUAGGGGCCGAGCGUUGUCCGGAGUUAUUGGGCGUAAAGCGCGCGCAGGCGGCCUCGCGCGCCCGACGUGAAAGCCCCCGGCUUAACCGGGGAGGGUCGUUGGGGACGGCGGGGCUUGAGGGCGGGAGAGGGCGGUGGAAUUCCCGGUGUAGUGGUGAAAUGCGUAGAUAUCUGGAGGAACACCGGUGGCGAAGGCGGCGUUCUGGACUGUUUCUGACACUGAAAAACGAAAGCCAGGGGAGCAAACGGG
rnacentral:rRNA from 1 species